GCUACUUUCUGGGGCUGCCAAUGAUAGUUCAUAUGCAGAAGGGACUUGCCUUUUCUCAGAUGAGAUGUUGGACUCGGACUUUUGAGUUAAUGCUGAAAUGAGCUAAGACUUUGGGGAACUGUUGGGAAGACAUGAUCGGUUUUGAAAUGCGAGAAGGACAUGAGAUGUGGGAGGGGCCAAGGGUGGAAUUAUAAGGUUUAGCUCUGUGUCCCCACCCAAAUUUCAUCUCGAAUUGUAAUUCCUAAUGUUGGGGAAGGGACCUGGUGGGAAGUGAUUGGAUCAUGGGGGUGGACUUCCCUCAUGCUGUUCUCCUGAUAAUGAGUGAGUUCUCAUGAGAUCUGCUUGUUUAAAGGUGUAUGGCACUUCCCCCCUUGCUCACGCUUUCUCUCUUCUGCUGCCAUGAGAAGAAAGUGCUUGCUUUCCCUUUGCUUUUCUCCCAUGAUUCAGUUUCUGAGGCCUCCCAGUCAUGCUUCCUGUUAAGUCUGUGGAACUUGGAGUCAAUUAAACCUCUUUUCUUCAUAAAUUACUCAGUCUCAGGUGGUUCUUUAUAGCAGUGUGAGAACAGACUAAUGUACUAAGCAAUAAGAAAGAUGUCCAGGCCCCAAAUGCCCCAACCUGACACCUAGCUGGCUCUUAAAGAGGGUAGCUACUGUGAAGAGGGAGAAAAAGGCCUUGGCAUCUGCAGACCCUCUUUCUUUAUGAUCCUUUAAAUAUAAAGGAUGUGUUUAUGUCUGUCUUCCUAAGUAGGAAGUUUUAUUCUUUAAACUAAAUUUGACCUACUGGCAUGUGACAAGAAUCACUGACUUGUCAUUACUGGCAUGUGACAAGAAUCACUGACUUGUCAUCUAACUGACAUCUGAAGUUCCUAACAUCCUAAGGGAUGGGGACAAGUAGGAGGAAGCUACAGAAAAACAUAUAUGUCUGAGUUUUUGUUUUAAAUGUGUGAGGUAAAAGCAAAUUGUUUCUGUUCUGCUUAAACUGUUAUUUGAAAGUAUGUUGCCCCAGGCCUAGGCAUUUGCUAAGCUCUCUCAAAUUCACAUCUUCUCUUAUUCUCUCAUUCUCUGCCUCCAGUGGUUUCUAUUUAGAGGUGGAUCAACCCAUUAGCAGUCUUGGACUCUGCUCCUUUUCUGCUUCUCAGAAACCCCUUUCAGUUUUCUACCAUUUGCAGCACACUUCAUGCAAUAAUUGGCAAAACUCUGUCAAUUUAAUUAGACUUCCUGACAAUUCCAGAACAUCUCCCCCCUUCAAAGCACUUGCUUUCCAAUAGCAACUGAAACAUAAAUCCUGAUGCUUUGACUUUCAUGUUUCUCUUGAAAUAAUAUUGUUAAUGACUUUUUGUAACCAUUGGAGGCCUUUGAAUAGAGUUUGAAUUAAAAUACUGGCAACAAAUAUC
rnacentral:lncRNA from 1 species